CCAGGCUUGAACUGCAGUUGACCGACCAUGAAAGUGGUUUUCCGCAAGGACAACUGUAGAGGUGCUGCAUGGCUGUCGUCAGCUCGUGUCGUGAGAUGUUGGGUUAAGUCCCGCAACGAGCGCAACCCUCGUCCUCUGUUGCCAUCACGUUAUGGUGGGCACUCUGAGGAGACUGCCGGUGAUAAACCGGAGGAAGGUGGGGAUGACGUCAAGUCAGCAUGGCCUUUAUGUCUGGGGCCACACACGUGCUACAAUGGCUGGUACAAACCGCUGCGAUCCCGCGAGGGGGAGCUAAUCGGAAAAAGCCAGUCUCAGUUCGGAUCGUAGGCUGCAACUCGCCUGCGUGAAGUCGGAAUCGCUAGUAAUCGCGGAUCAGCACGCCGCGGUGAAUACGUUCCC
rnacentral:rRNA from 1 species